GUGCCAGCAGCCGCGGUAAUACGUAGGGUGCAAGCGUUACUCGGAAUUACUGGGCGUAAAGCGUGCGCAGGCGGUUAUGUAAGUCUGACGUGAAAUCCCCGGGCUUAACCUGGGAAUUGCGUUGGAGACUGCAAGGCUGGAAUCUGGCAGAGGGGGGUAGAAUUCCACGUGUAGCAGUGAAAUGCGUAGAGAUGUGGAGGAACACCGAUGGCGAAGGCAGCCCCCUGGGCUAAGAUUGACGCUCAUGCACGAAAGCGUGGGGAGCAAACAGGAUUAGAAACCCUGGUAGUCC
rnacentral:rRNA from 1 species